rnacentral:rRNA from 1 species
UACAGGGGGGGCAAGCGUUGUUCGGAAUUACUGGGCGUAAAGGGUUCGUAGGUGGCCAACUAAGUCAGACGUGAAAUCCCUCAGCUUAACUGGGGAACUGCGUCUGAUACUGGAUGGCUUGAGUGUAGGAGAGGAAUGCGGAAUUCCAGGUGUAGCGGUGAAAUGCGUAGAUAUCUGGAGGAACACCGGUGGCGAAGGCGGCAUCCUGGACCGACACUGACACUGAGGAGCGAAAGCCAGGGGAGCAAACGGG